UGUACACCGCCUGCCCGGUGCUCGCCCCGCCUCACUCGCCCGCUGGAGGUCAACGGCAACACCACGGCCAGCUUGUGAGACAAGUGACAGGCUGGCCAGACAGAGGUGGCCCACAAGGUGAUGAACACUACCUACCACUGAGAAAGUCACCUAAAGGUGUGAAUGUCAACCACCCUCACACAGGUCUUGCACUCCACAUAGCAACACCAGUGGAACUUGCAGUGACACCUCUCCCUGAGUGUCACCUUUUGGGAGUUGUAGCCACGCCCACAGCACAGCAGAUCACACCCAUCCAUGCCCUCUGAGGUUUUGUUGCAAAUACGAUCCUGGGUUCCUGGAAGACAAAUGCUGUCAUUGAAUGUCAAGACAUAAAUAAAGGCUGCCAAAAAGGUGCCGAGGUGGUGGCCCUAUGUGUGAAUCAUCAGAAAAAAUUGGAUUUACAAGUGAAAUCUCAGGAAUCCUGUGAAGAGAAUAUACUUUGAAGUGGAAGGCAAAGAAGAACCAAAUAUGGAUGAGAUCUACAGAAAAUGAGAAAGCUUUUUUGAGCUUCCUCUCUCUGCAACAUAUAUGGUGAAAUCAACACACACAAGACAAGGAGACAACUACAAAAGCCACUUGACCUAUACAGAAAAGAUGAGUUCCAAGCAACCACUUCCCUAUAUAAGGUGAACAUUUGAAUGGUGAUAAAGGAAGACGGUUCUGGAGGGCUUACCAACUUCCCUGAAGGAUCCCAGUUGCUGCCAGCAGGUGAUGAGAGAGCAGGACCCAGAAACGCCAUGACACUUGCAGUUCACCCGGGUCUUGCGGAUCACAGCCUGCGGAAGCAAAAAAAAAUACCAUACUAUAAAGGGACAGUUGACAUACAGGUCUUAAGAAUAAUUCCUAAAAUCACAUACGUAUAUAUGUAAGCUUACUGGACAAUUUUUCAUGAUACUGUUUUUGCACUUUAUAUUAUUUGUGUUGUACUGCUAAUAAAUCGUGUCCUUUCCCCUUUACAUCAUCCCUGUGCAAAAGUACAGAUCAGCAGUCUUGUUUCUCUUUAUAUAGCCACAAGAAAUAAAAUUUGCUCCCAUUAUUAUUACAUACAAAACAUCUUAUACCUCACCUGCCAACAGUAAUAAUGUUCCUCUUCCUGAGUGUGAUACAUUUCAAAGCAGUUUUAUAUAUUGUAUUAAAUAGCCAUAAAAAAUCAUGCCAAAGAAACAUGUAUGGUAAAAGAUUCCCUACAGUGCAUACAUAACUUUGUCUUCAUCUGCCACUGUGGGCUAUAUACAUGAAACCUAACUUA